rnacentral:rRNA from 1 species
UGUACACGCUGUGACUAGCAUAUCAAUAAGCGGAGGAAAAGAAACUAACAAGGAUUCCCCUAGUAACGGCGAGUGAAGCGGGAAGAGCUCAAAUUUGAAAUCUUAAAGGGUUUCCCUUCACGAAUUGUAGUUUAAAGAAGUGUUUUCUGUUGAGGUUUUGGUAAAAGUUCUUUGGAAUAGGACAUCAUAGAGGGUGAGAAUCCCGUAUUUGACCUUUACUUUCAACUUUGUGAUACACUUUCAAAGAGUCGGAUUGUUUGGGAAUGCAGUCCAAAAUGGGUGGUAAAUUUCAUCUAAAGCUAAAUAUUGGCGAGAGACCGAUAGCGAACAAGUACCGUGAGGGAAAGAUGAAAAGAACUUUGAAAAGAGAGUUAAACAGUACGUGAAAUUGUCAAAAGGGAAGCGUUUGACACCAGUGUUGUUUUUCUGAAAAUCAAUUAAAGAACUGUUUAUGCUAAGCUGUUUAGACUUUAUCAGCUAUCUGUUUAGUUUUGAGCUUUUUCUUUAAUGCACUUUUCAGUUAACAAGUCAACAUCAAUUUCUUUUGCUGUAAAAAAGCUUGAGGAAGGUGGCUUGAGAUUCGUCUUAAGUGUUUAUAGCCUCUUGCCUAUGCAGUCGGAGAGAUUGAGGUCUGCAGCGUAGAUCCUUCGGGGCUAAAUGCAUUUGUGCUAAGUUAUAGCAUUUUAUAGACAACUUGUUGACUAUGAUUUGUCUUGUAGCUUACUCGCUUAUGUUAUUUUACCUACGCUUAGGAUGUUGACGCGCGUGUGUGCGUG